rnacentral:rRNA from 1 species
AUUGAACGCUGGCGGCAGGCCUAACACAUGCAAGUCGAACGAGUGGCGGACGGGUGAGUAAUGUCUGGGAAACUGCCCGAUGGAGGGGGAUAACUACUGGAAACGGUAGCUAAUACCGCAUACCAUCGGAUGUGCCCAGAUUGGAUUAGCUAGUCGGGGGGGUAACGGCUCACCUAGGCGACGAUCCCUAGCUGGUCUGAGAGGAUGACCAUCCACACUGGAACUGAGACACGGUCCAGACUCCUACGGGAGGCAGCAGUGGGGAAUAUGGCACAAUGGGCGCAAGCCUGAUGCAGCCAUGCCGCGUGUAUGAAGAAGGCCUUCGGGUUGUAAAGUACUUUCAGCGAGGAGGCGUUACUCGCAGAAGAAGCACCGGCUAACUCCGUGCCAGCAGCCGCGGUAAUAC